rnacentral:rRNA from 15 species
ACUGCGGAAGGAUCAUUA